rfam:Thermoplasmatales archaeon B_DKE contig-32, whole genome shotgun sequence.
UGGAUUGUGUAAACUGCUAAACUGCUUGGGGAAUGGUUUGGUUUGGAAGCUGAAGAAGGACGUGCCAAGCUGCGAUAAGCUUCGGGGAGGCGCAUGGGGCCUUAGAUCCGAAGAUCUCCGAAUGGGACUUCCUGUCUCAAUGACACUCCGUAAGGAGAGGGCACCCGGGGAAUUGAAACAUCUUAGUACCCGGAGGAAAAGAAAUCAAUAGAGAUGCCGUUAAUAAGGGCGACCGAAAGCGGCAAAAGGCAAACCGAAUCCCCUGUUGAAAGAUAGGGGAGAUGUGGAGUUUGGACUUUUUUUAACACCUCCCAACCUAAUUCGAAUCUACUGGAAAGUAGAACCAUAGAGGGUGAUAGUCCUGUAGAAGUAAAGUUGAAGGUCAUAAGAAGAAGUAUCCAGAGUACCGUGCGUCGUUUUUCGCGCGGGAAUUCGGGUGGCACUAACACCCAACCUUAAAUACAUCCCAAAUCCGAUAGCGAACAAGUACCGUGAGGGAAAACUGAAAAGUAACCCGAAAGGGUGGUGAUAAGAACCUGAAACCAAGCAGUGAUAAACUUAUAGGGCACUUAAGGAGUGAUACCGUUAACUACGGUUGACCGGUGUUCUAUUAUCCGUGUUGAAGAACGGGCCAGGGAGUUUUGACGAGUGGCAAGGUUAAUCCUUUAAGGAGUAGCCGUAGCGAAAGCAAUUAUCCGCACAGCAAUGGAGGGAUAACGUAGUAAAUGCGUCUAGUCACUUGUGUAAGACCCGAAUCCGGUCGAUCUACGCCUGAGCAGGUUGAAGCCCUACGAAAGUAGGGUGGAGGACCGAACCAGUUCUGAUGUGCAAAUCGUUUGGAUGACUUGGGUGUAGGGGUUAAAGGCUAAUCUAGGCCGGUAAUAGCGGGUUCCCCUCGAUACUACCCGCAGGUAGACUUCAGUGGAGAUGCUCAGCGAGGUAGAGCUACUGAAUAGUUGGUUAGCAGCCGAAAGGCUGCGCCGACUUAUCAAACUCCGAACUUGUUGAGAUCGUAGAAGCUGGAUGCUAGGGUGCAGAGAUAAGCCCUGCACCCGUGAAGGGAACAUCCUAGACGAGGGUUAAGGUCCCUAAAACUAACUAAGUGCAAAUUAAAGGGGUUUGUGGCCAAAGACAGUGUGGAGGUUGGCUUAGAAGCAGCCAUCCUUUAAAGAGUGCGUAACAGCUCACUCACCGAGGCUACAUGUCCCGAAGAUGGAAGGGGCUAAAGUUAGUUACCGAGACCUUCGAGCACCGAAAGGUGAUCUGGUAGGGGGGCGUGCCAUGUGGGCAGAAGUUUCUCCGAGAGGAGGAGUGGACCGCAUGGUAUCGUGGAUCCUGGUAAAAGUAGCAGACAAGAAUUGUGAGAAUCAAUUCCGCCGAAAGGGCUAAGGGUUCCUUGGCAAUGUUCGUCAGCCGAGGGUUAGCCGAUCCUAAGGUCAUCCUUAACAGGAGAUGACCGAAUGGGAAACUGGUUAAUAUUCCAGUGCCUUGAGUGUUUUGCCGUACAUAUAAACUUCCGGAUAGGGAGACCACGGGAGUCAACGUGGUCGGACAUAUAAGUGGGGGGAGAGUUGUAAUGACGAGAAACCUAUGAAAAUGUUCGAGUGCCCUUCUGGGUAUUCACUCCAUUCCAGGAGUCCGUGAAAGGUGUGUACGGGUCAAACUCAAGUUCGUACCAAGAACCGACACAGGUGCCCCUGGAUGAGAAGUCCAAGGCGUUUGGGAAUAAUGGAUGCGAGGGAACUCGGCCAAAUAGCUCCGUAUCUUAGGUAGAAGGAGUGCCUAUCCCGUGAUGGAAUAGGUCGCAGUGGCAAGGGGACCCCGACUGUUUACCAAAAACACAGACCGCUGCUAGUCCGUAAGGAUGUGUAUAGCGAUUGAAACCUGCCCAGUGUUGGUACCUGAAAGCCUCGUUCAAGAGGAAGAAGGGCCAAUAAACGGCGGGGGUAACUAUGACCCUCUUAAGGUAGCGUAAUACCUAGCCGCUUAAUUGGCGGCUUGCAUGAAGGUUCAACGAGAGUCCCACUGUCCCCGCAUUCAGCCCCGUGAAAUUGAUGUACUGGUGCACAAUCCAGUCUCUCCCACGUGAAAGCGAAGUCCCCGUGGAGCUUUACUGCAGCCUGUAGCUGUAAUACGAUUUCUAUUGCGUAGUGUAGGAAGGAGCCGUCGAAGCCAGAGUUUUGGCCUUGGUGGAGGCAACGAUGAAACACUUCCCUUUAGAAAUUGCGUUACUAACCUCGUAAGAGGGACAACUAUUGGUGGGCAGUUUGGGUGGGGCGCCACGCUCCCAAAAAUUAAACAGGAGCCCCCAAAGGUUAGCUCAGGAGGGUCAGAAAUCCUCCGUAGAGUGUAAGAGCAAAAGCUAACUUGACUGUGUUGAGGACAAUAAUCAACGCAGAUGCGAAAGCAUGGUCUAACGAACCACCCUGUCCCCCUUUAGUGGAGGCGGGUGAUAAGAGAGAAGUUACCCCAGGGAUAACUGAGUUGUCCCCGGCAAGAGUUCACAUCGACCCGGGGGUUUGCUACUUCGAUGUCGUCUGUUCCUAUCCUGGUGCUGAACAAGGUGCCAAGGGUGGGGCUGUUCGCCCAUUAAAAGGAAUCCUGAGAUGGGUUCACUACGUCGCGAGACAGUAGGGUUGCUUCUCCGUGGGAGUGUUCGAUGUCUGAAGGGAAGGAGCCUUUAGUACGAGAGGAACGGGGGUUCGUGACUUCUGGUUUACCGGUUGUCUGGCAAGGCACCGCCGGGUAGCCACGUCAUUCGCGGAUAAAAGCUGAAAGCAUCUAAGCUUGAAGCCGCCCCUGAAAAUAGACAUCGUUUGAGACCACUCCUAAAAGAGGAGAUUGAUAGAACUGGGAUGUAAGUACCAAGCUUUUGCGAGGUAUUCAGUCCACAGUUACUAAACGGUCGAAUUCACAAUCCA